CUCUUAUCCAGAGCGGUGGAGGGAAAGGCCCUAUGAAACCCGGCAACCGGUCGGCUUUAGUCGACAAGGUGCUAAUUCCUUCAGGAAGUAUUUCCUGGCAGAUGGGAG
rnacentral:ncRNA from 2 species